rnacentral:lncRNA from 1 species
GGGAGGUGCAAGAAGAUGCCCUGGCUGUAAAAAGGUGAUUGGGCUUGCGACUCUUGUGAAAUGGUCUGAAACUAUCUUUAGCUUAGAUGGGAGUGCCAGGCUUGCAGGGCCCAGGUUUGGCAGAUGAGCCAGGCCAGAAGCCAGUGCCCUGAGGGCUUCCUGACUGCCACCCACACUCUCCGCCCGGCUGCCACUUCUCGGAGCAGCUGGUACCAUCAGCUCCCAGGGAGAAUCCUGAAAUCACACAGGGGGAUACACUGAGGUCCAGAGAGGGGAAAGAGUUCAUCCAGGAUCCCAGCUGGAUCAAAGGUCUCCUGAUGUCUGCUGGAGGAACAAGAGAGAGGAAAUCCCUGGCCUUUUGUUUCACCAACUGUAAAAUGAGAGGGCUUCACCGAUCUAUGGUUUCCAGCUGGGAUCUGGGCUCUCGGGGGCCACUGUUGGAGUCAACACCAAGCCCGCGGAGCUCCGGGACCACCUUUUCUGGUUCUCAGUCCACGUCUCUUUCACUCGUGAAGGGCUGCGGAAGGCUCCACGUGAACAAACUUCCUGCCGCUCAGCCUUGAAUGUGUGAAAGCCCCCUACUUGUUUAUUUUCAGGGCUCCUGGCAGCGCAGACUCUCUGGGACAGGGAUUCCUCCCAAGACCCCUGCCCAGGUAGACCCCCUAUGUCCUGGCCUGGGUCAGGGUUGGCUCAGCUGCCUGGAGUGGGUGAGCAGACCAGAAGCAUGACCCUGCCCCACCCCCAGCCAGCUGCAGCCCGGGCCUGGGAUGCUGGUUCCGCCAGCAGUUAAAGUCCCCCUGGUUGUCUAAUUUAAUCACAGCUGUGUGCACGGUGACUCUAUAAAUAAUUUUUAGUGCGACAUAACCAUUAUUUCACUAAUUGCUUCACGCGCACCCCUGGCCUGUGAGAUAAAUUAAGGUUUG